UACGUAGGUGGCGAGCGUUGUCCGGAUUUACUGGGCGUAAAGGGGGCGUAGGCGGGCUUUUAAGUGAGAUGUGAAAUACUCGGGCUCAACUUGAGUGCUGCAUUUCAAACUGGAAGUCUAGAGUGCAGGAGAGGAGAAUGGAAUUCCUAGUGUAGCGGUGAAAUGCGUAGAGAUUAGGAAGAACACCAGUGGCGAAGGCGAUUCUCUGGACUGUAACUGACGCUGAGGCUCGAAAGCGUGGGGAGCAAACAGG
rnacentral:rRNA from 1 species